UAGUGAGUUUGAUCCUGGCUCAGGAUGAACGCUAGCGGCAGGCCUAAUACAUGCAAGUCGAACGGGUGGUAGCAAUACCACUAGUGGCGCACGGGUGCGUAACGCGUAACCAACCUGCCCUUGACUGGGGGAUAGCCCGCCGAAAGGCGGAUUAAUACCGCAUAAACUAGCAACUCGGCAUCGAGUAACUAGUAAAGAUUUAUUGGUCAAGGAUGGGGUUGCGUGACAUUAGCUAGUUGGCGGUAA
rnacentral:rRNA from 1 species